UGGCUCAGAACGAACGCUGGCGGCGUGCUUAACACAUGCAAGUCGAACGAACCUUCGGGUUAGUGGCGGACGGGUGAGUAACGCGUGAGAAUCUGCCCUCAGGAGGGGGAUAACGGCUGGAAACGGCCGCUAAUACCCCAUAUGCCGAGAGGUGAAAUGAAAUUCGCCUGAGGAUGAGCUCGCGUCUGAUUAGCUAGUUGUUUUUUAAAGGCCUACCGANGAAUCGAUCAGUAGCUGGUCUGAGAGGAUGAUCAGCCA
rnacentral:rRNA from 1 species